rnacentral:rRNA from 1 species
GGCGAGGGGACGCCUACCAUGCAGUCGAGCGGCAGCGGAAGUACUUGCUACUUUGCCGGCGAGCGGCGGACGGGUGAGUAAUGUCUGGGAAACUGCCUGAUGGAGGGGGAUAACUACUGGAAACGGUAGCUAAUACCGCAUAACGUCGCAAGACCAAAGAGGGGGACCUUCGGGCCUCUUGCCAUCAGAUGUGCCCAGAUGGGAUUAGCUAGUAGGUGGGGUAACGGCUCACCUAGGCGACGAUCCCUAGCUGGUCUGAGAGGAUGACCAGCCACACUGGAACUGAGACACGGUCCAGACUCCUACGGGAGGCAGCAGUGGGGAAUAUUGCACAAUGGGCGCAAGCCUGAUGCAGCCAUGCCGCGUGUAUGAAGAAGGCCUUCGGGUUGUAAAGUACUUUCAGCGGGGAGGAAGGUGUUGAGGUUAAUAACCUCAGCUAUUGACGUUACCCGCAGAAGAAGCACCGGCUAACUCCGUGCCAGCAGCCGCGGUAAUACGGAGGGUGCAAGCGUUAAUCGGAAUUACUGGGCGUAAAGCGCACGCAGGCGGUCUGUCAAGUCAGAUGUGAAAUCCCCGGGCUCAACCUGGGAACUGCAUUCGAAACUGGCAGGCUAGAGUCUUGUAGAGGGGGGUAGAUUUCCGGGUGUAGCGGUGAAAUGCGUAGAGAUCUGGAGGAAUACCGGUGGCAAAGGCGGCCCCCUGGACAAAGACUGACUCUCAGGUGCGAAAGCGUGGGGAGCAAACGGGAUUAUAUACCCGUGGUAGUCCCCGCCGUAAACGAUGUCCAACUUGGAGGUUGCGCCCGUAGAUGCGUGGCUUCCCAGAGCAAACGCGUUAAGCCCACCGCCAGGGGAGUCCGCCGCGCAAGGUUAAACUCAUAUUGUAUUGACGGGGGCCCCCCACCCGCGGGUGGACCUUGUGGUUUAUUUCUCUGCAACGCGAGAGACC